CAAAACAGGCUGUGAACUGUCCACACCAGGAAGGUCUCCAGUUCUAGUUACAAUAUAUGCCUCGGCUUCCCUCCCUCAGCCAGGCGAACAAAACCCCAGCCCCUCUAGGGACUUGAAGGAAGAGUGUGCAGGGUUAACCCUGUCCUGCCUCCUCUCCUUCACAGUGGAGAUGAACUCAUUGGGUGAAGGGCAUCACUCACUGGUGAUGGUUAGGUGGAGAAAUCCACCUAUUCACAUGGGUCAUGGGUCAGAGACCCAUAUCAGAAUCAGUGGUGAAGUCCAUAGCCAGGACCUUUUGAAUUUUUAGGACACAAGGCUGUAAUCUAAACUUGGUGCCUAGGACACCUGCUUUUUGCCCCGUACUUCCUUUUAUCCAAUUGCCCUCUCUGUCUUGCUUUCUUAUCUCUUGCUCAGAUGCUAGUUAACCUUGUAAGAUGGAAAGGAGAAAUCUGCCUGAGUGAAAAAUAACGCAGUCUGAAGUGUGUGGCUCUCCUCAGGAAACUCUUAUUGUGGAGGUUGGCACACUCUUUUCACUUCCACAUUCAGGAGCUAAAUAGCACACAUCCCUGUCUGUCCCCAGUCUUUGUUCAACCCUAACCAGGAAGGGAAAAUCAGUAUUUGUGAAUCCACAACCAAAUGAAGGUGUGCAAGGUCCUGUGAAGCAGUAGGUAGUUUGAAGGAACUAGAUGCAGUAGUGAAAGUUUUCCUGGGGGGAGGUGCUGGAAGUCUGUUCUUUCCUAAUCCAAGCACCCCUGCGGCUCUUGUUUUGUGUUGUACAGGAGGAGGCGGGAGAGGCUGCUCUAAGGGAGGACAUGGUGAGAAUUAUAAUGAGUCUGAGCUCACUCAGACUUGAAUUUGAGAUGAUUGCAAUGAUGACACCAGGAAAACAUGGGCUCAUUGUUCAGACCUUAUGGCCUCAGAGUUGGCUGAGUGUCUUAGAGGAGUGGGCCUGUGACCAUCACAACACAACAGACAAGAGACUUUCUAUUACAAGCAAUCCCACUGGCAGAAGAAUAAAAUGCUAAGUGCUGUUUUACUGUUCAUUAGUAAUAUGUCAUGAGUGAUUUAGAAGCUGUUCUGAUGCAACUGAAAGAAACCCACAGCAGAACUGAUGAGUAAGUAGAUCUUAUACCUACUUAAAUCCAGUGAACAGGACCUGAAAAAUGCAUUUAUAGUAGAUAGAGAUCACCUGUAACUUGUUAUGUUCCCUUUCUUGGGUGUACUGAAGGGAUAAGACAUGGUUAGAUGGAAGUCUAUGGCAGUCCUUGUGUCAUCACUUUGCAAUACGCACAUUUGUGCAUCUAACUAUUCAGUUUCUGGUUAACUAUAUGGUUGUUUGAAAUCUGGUAUUUCUGACUGUGAAGAUUAUUCUUUAUUUGGUUUAUUGCCUGAAGACUGCUCAUAUUUACACUCAGACCAAGAAAGCCAGAGAAUAAUCCAAGUGAAGUGCAUUCCGUUCUUUAAGUUCUAUUGACCCAUCCUUCUGUAGUAUGAAUUUGGAUAGGAUCCAAUGCAGGAUCCUUUUAUAGUUCUUUAUUGUCUAGGAAGCCUUCUGUCUAGGAAGACCUUUAAAAACCUUCUCUAUAGGAUGACCUGAAGACCUUUCUUCAGAAGGAUUUUGGAAGCUUUAGUGUAGGUAGGAAUCACAAAGGUAACUAAUUAUCAGGACUACUACAAACUGUGCAAGGAAAACCAACCUACUAUUGUCUUCUACUUCAUGCAGUUUCUUAGAAAGUGUUAAGUCUUAGCAUGCAGUGCUGUGUCUUGAUUUCAGGAAUGAACCCAUAGAAUUGUACAUUUACUUCUUAUUGGCAGAAAUGGUUUCAAUGAAAUCAGUGAGACUACUUGAGGCUAUUACACCACAGUAAUAGCCUUUGCCAGGAUAGGAUUUAUUCAGGUCUGAGCUGUUUGAGUUACCACGGCUUGUCUGCAAGUUCCUUUGGCCAGUGACACUAAACAGAAUACUCUAUGGAUCCUGCCUCUCAUAUCCUAACACAAUUCAUAUUUCCAGCCUCACUGUAAGCAUCCACCCCUGAAAUGCCUGAACUGGAGAUGGGGUAUCUGGUUUGAAGUUUGUCAUCAUCUUCUUCAUCCUCAGUUCUUUCCUGGUAACCAUUUUUCAUUAGCCAGACUCGAGCUUUCAGGCACCUGUUAUAUCAAUCCCUUUGUAUUGCCAGCAAGAACUCAAGUGGAAUAGCUACCUCACGUUUUUAUUCUAUCUGAAAAAGUGCACUACACACACAUUUUUAUUAUAAUAAUAUAAUGUAGCAUUUUGUGCAGGAAAAGUUCUGCCAUGUAGAAAAGCAUUAACUCAAGCUGCAUAGUACUGAGUCUCUGUCUGAACCCACUUACAUCUGUUUCACAUUAGUUUAAUUUGACUUCAGUACAAUUACUCCUGAAUCACAGUCAUGGGAGAAUUACAAUCUGGCCUUUAGUUUUUCCAUGAUGUCUCCAAAGAAUCUUCAUAAGAUCAAAGUCUGAUAUGUGACAAAAAUAGAAAGCUUGAUUAAUAAAAACAAGCCACCAAAUUCA
ensembl:lncRNA